rnacentral:rRNA from 1 species
AUGGCGCCGGGAUUCACCAAGUUUGAUGUGCAGAAAUUCGAUGGCACGGGUAACUUCGGUCUAUGGCAGACAAGAGUCAAGGAUAUUCUGGCGCAGCAGGGAAUCUUGAAGGGUUUGCAGGAGACGAAGCCGGCCAAGGUUGACAACGAUGCGUGGGAGGAUAUGCAAGUCCAGGCGGCCGCUACCAUACGGCUUUGUCUUGCGGAUCAGGUCAUGUAUCAUGUCAUGGACGAAGAUACUCCUAAGGGAAUUUGA